GUCUAUAGCCAUGCCACCCCGAACAAAGCCAAUUCCAUCUCAUCUCAGAAGCUAAGCAGGGUUGGGCCUGGUUAGUACUUGGAUGGAAGACCACCUAGGAAGAACAGGUGGUAUAGGUG
rnacentral:rRNA from 1 species